rnacentral:rRNA from 1 species
GACGAACGCUGGCGGCGCGCUUAACACAUGCAAGUCGAGCGAUGAAAUUUCGACAGAUCCCUUCGGGGUGAAGAUGAAAUGGAUUAGCGGCGGACGGGUGAGUAACACGUGAGUAACCUGCCUUUGACAUUGGGAUAGCCUCGGGAAACUGGGAUUAAUACCAAAUGACACUAACUGAUCACAUGAUCAAUUAGUCAAAGAAAUUCGGUCAAAGAUGGACUCGCGGCGGAUUAGCUAGUUGGUGAGGUAACGGCCCACCAAGGCGACGAUCAGUAGCCGGCCUGAGAGGGUGAUCGGACACAUUGGAACUGAGACACGGUCCAAACUCCUACGGGAGGCAGCAGUGGGGAAUAUUGCACAAUGGGGGAAACCCUGAAGCAGCGACGCUGCGUGAGCGAAGAAGGCCUUCGGGUCGUAAAGCUCUUUUAUGAAGGAAGAUAAUGACGGUACCUCAAGAAAAAGCCCCGGCUAACUACGUG